AACGAGGCCGACCUGCGGCUGAGUUACCUGCGGAAGGAUCAUUACAGAGUUAUCCAACUCCCAAACCCAUGUGAACUUAUCUCUUUGUUGCCUCGGCGCAAGCUACCCGGGACCCCGCGCCCCGGGCGGCCCGCCGGCGGACAAACCAAAACUCUUGUUAUCUUAGUUGAUUCUCUGAGCGUCUUAUUUAAUAAGUCAAAACUUUCAACAACGGAUCU
rnacentral:misc_RNA from 1 species